rnacentral:ncRNA from 1 species
GUUAACUAAUACUAAACCUAUCGCAAGCUAGGGUCAGAAAGCCACGGGUCCUCUCUUCAGGAAAGCCGGGCUACCGAA